rnacentral:rRNA from 1 species
UACGUAGGGUGCAAGCGUUGUCCGGAAUUAUUGGGCGUAAAGAGCUCGUAGGCGGUGUGUCGCGUCGGCCGUGAAAACCUGCAGCUCAACUGUGGGCUUGCGGUCGAUACGGGCAUCACUGGAGUUCGGCAGGGGAGACUGGAAUUCCUGGUGUAGCGGUGAAAUGCGCAGAUAUCAGGAGGAACACCGGUGGCGAAGGCGGGUCUCUGGGCCGGUUCUGACGCUGAGGCGCGAAAGCGUGGGGAGCGAUCCGG